CAGCAGCCGCGGUAAUACGUAGGUGGCGAGCGUUGUCCGGAUUUAUUGGGUUUAAAGGGUGCGUAGGCGUCCUGACAAGUUUUAGGUGAAAUGCCCAGGCUCAACCUGGGAGCUGCCUGAAAAACUGUUGGGAUUGAGUACAGACGAGGUAGGCGGAAUUGACGGUGUAGCGGUGAAAUGCAUAGAUAUCGUCAGGAACACCGAUAGCGUAGGCAGCUUACUAGACUGUAACUGACGCUGAGGCACGAAAGUGUGGGGAUCAAACAGGAUUAGAUACCCUGGUAGUCCACACUGUAAACGUUGAUGACUCGCUGUGUGCGAUAUACAGUACGCGGCUAAGCGAAAGCGAUAAGUCAUCCACCUGGGGAGUACGCCGGCAACGGUGAAACUCAAAGGAAUUGACGG
rnacentral:rRNA from 1 species